AUUGAACGCUGGCGGCAUGCCCUACACAUGCAAGUCGAACGGCAGCGGGGGAGAAGCUUGCUUUUCCUGCCGGCGAGUGGCGAACGGGUGAGUAAUACAUCGGAACGUGCCCUGUAGUGGGGGAUAACUAGUCGAAAGAUUAGCUAAUACCGCAUACGACCUGAGGGUGAAAGGGGGGGACCGCAAGGCCUCAUGCUAUAGGAGCGGCCGAUGUCUGAUUUGCUAGUUGGUGGGGUAAAGGCCUACCAAGGCGACGAUCAGUAGCUGGUAUGAGAGGACGAUCAGCCACACUGGGACUGAGACACGGCCCAGACUCCUACGGGAGGCAGCAGUGGGGAAUUUUGGACAAUGGGCGAAAGCCUGAUCCAGCAAUGCCGCGUGUGUGAAGAAGGCCUUCGGGUUGUAAAGCACUUUUGUCCGGAAAGAAAUGGCUCUGGUUAAUACCUGGGGUCGAUGACGGUACCGGAAGAAUAAGGACCGGCUAACUACGUGCCAGCCGCCGCCGUAA
rnacentral:rRNA from 1 species